rnacentral:rRNA from 1 species
CCGCGUGAGUGAAGAAGGCCUUCGGGUUGUAAAGCUCUUUUGUCAGGGAAGAAACGGCUGUGGCUAAUAUCCACGGCUAAUGACGGUACCUGAAGAAUAAGCACCGGCUAACUACGUGCCAGCAGCCGCGGUAAUACGUAGGGUGCAAGCGUUAAUCGGAAUUACUGGGCGUAAAGCGUGCGCAGGCGGUUUUGUAGUCUGACGUGAAAUCCCCGGGCUCAACUGGGAAUUGCGUUGGAAAACGGCAGGCUAAAUCUGGGAA